ensembl:lncRNA LINC02930 long intergenic non-protein coding RNA 2930
GAGUCUCGCCCUGUCACCCAGGCUGGAGUGCAGUGGCACGAUCUUGGCUAUUGCAGCCUCUGCCUCCUGGUUUCAAGCGAUUCUCCUGCCUCAGCCUCCCGCAUAGCUGGAAUUACGAGUGUGCACCACCAUGCCCAGCUAAUUUUUGUAUUUUUAGUAGAGACAGUAGAUGUUGGCCAGGCUGGUCUUGAACUACUGACCACAAGUGAUCUGCCUGUCUCCACCUUGCAAAGUGCUGGGAUUACAGGCAUGAGCCACAGCACCUGGCCCCUUCUUUCUUUCCUUCCUUCCUUCCUUCCUUCCUUCCUUCCUUCCUUCCUUCUUCUUCUCUUCUCUCUCUCUCUUUCAUUCUUUCUUUUUUCUUUCUUUCUCCCUCCCUCCCUCUCUCCCUUCCUUUCUUCCUCUCAAUGAACAUAGUAUUUUGAAUACUAUAGUAGACUAAAUAGUGCCCCCCCCACCAAAGGUCCAUGUUGUAAUACCUGGAACCUGUGAAUAUGUUACCUUACAUGGCAAAGGGCACUUACUUUGCAGAUAUGAUAAAGAGGGACUCAGAAGGUGUCAGAGUCAAGGAAGACAAUAUGACAACAAGCCAAGAGGGGUUUGAAGAUGCUACUUUGCUGGCUUUGAAAGGGGCCAGAGCCAGAGAAUCCAAGGAAUGCAGCUCUAGCAGCUGGAAAGGCCACAGUUCUCCCCUAGAGCCUCUGGAGGGAGCGCAGCCCUGCCAGCACCGUAGGUUCAGCCCGGAUGCACCAUUUCAGACUUCGGACCUCCAGAACUAUAAGAGAAUAUAUUGUGCUAUUUUAAACCUUAAAGUUUGUGGUCAUUUGUUCCAGCAGCAACAGGAAACUAAUUUGAGCACCAAGCACUGUAUCUGAUAUAACCAAAGCUUCAAAGGAGGGUGCAGGCCCAGGAGUCGUGUGGCCACUGCCAGGAGAGCUAAAGCCAUAAGAGUGAGUGGGGAAGGGGAAGAGUUCCAGGAGCCAUGAACGGAUUACUCAAGCAGGGAUGCACAUUGUAUAUAAAAGAAAGACAUGAAGUACAGUUACAGAAGAGAGAUUGGGGCAUUGUCACUUCACAGAAGGCAAUGGGGAGUGUCAAGAGAUUGAUUUUCCCUCCUUUUCCCUGGGCUGUAAUUUCUCCCUCUUUCUUGGCUAUUCAUAAACAGAUGGCAAUGGACCCCAUGAGUGGAGCUUUAAGCCAAAAUGCCCAAAUCCAUAGAGACAGAAAGUAGGUUGGUGAUUGCCAGGGACGGGCUGGAAGGGAGCCGGGGGAAAAUGAGGAGUGACUGCUAAGAGGUAGAGGGUUUCUUUUGGGGGCUGUGAACAUGUUCCAGAAUUAAACAGUGAUGGUUGCACAACUCUGUGAAAAUACUAAAAACCCACUAAAUUGUACAUUUUGAAGGGGUGACUUUUAAGGUAUGUGAAUUAUAUUUCAAUACAAAUAAAAUAAGUAGAUAGAUAGAUAAAAGCCCACUCCUUGAGUGGCUUUCAUUCAAUGCAGCAGAACCAAAGAGCAGCCAGCGCCCUCCAAGCCUAAUGUGCUCCUUCUCACCACGCAGCUCUUGGCCACCUCGCUUCCUGCCUCUCUCAGUUGAUUCCCUGUGACUCUAUCCCUGCAUGGAGGAGAGACAAGUGAAAAUGAAAGACAGAUGAAUGUGUCAAGUUGAGAGCUCUUUACAUGAUGAAGGUGUUUCUGCUUCAUUGCAUGAAACAGAACAUAGAGCGGUGAUAAAACCCAGCCAGAUCCUUUGGGUUGACUUCCAACCGCAGGUGGUGGUUACUCAUUAGGAAAGAGCGAACACUGUAAUGACUUCAAAACUAAGGAGUGCAAAGCCAAAUAUUCACUAAUAAUCACUCAUCAAGGAGAACAGAUGGCACACGUUGAACACUCCUGAAAAUGAAAGCCCUUGGCUGCAGGGGUGAAUGUCCAGGACCCACAGAAAAUAUCAAGUCAGAUACCUCUUGAAGCACUGAUGGGAAGGUGCAGCUGGACUCCCUGGAACUCUGAAGCUGAGAGACAGAGCACUACGGAAGGGAGCCCCAUUCCCAAGCAUGGUGUCCAAUACACUGAAAGAAUAACUGGGCUCAGUAAUGCACCUAGAGACUCAGAUUCCAGACCUGCCCACUUGCUUUACUAUCCAAAACAACCAUGACACAUGACUUCUCUGGCGGGGUGUUGGCCAAGACAAACUGAACUAUAGAAGAUCCUUGACUUGCCAACGUUCAAAUGAUGAACUUUCAAAAAUAGCGAAACUGGCUGCAGAGCAAAAGCUUUUCAGCUCUGCACAACACCAACAGAUGGCGCUAAGUGUCACCCUUGUGGAGAGCAGAGGGACCUCGGAAGGGCCUUUGGAAAUCUAAUCUGGUUUUGAGUUCUUGGUGGGAAAAUGCACCUUUAAGUUGGGGGAGUUUGAAGACGUUGCCAAGACACGUGCUGCAGCAUUUGAUCUUUUCUGCCGCACUGGCUUCUGCAAUUAACAUGCUUUCACCAGUGAAACUCAGGUUGCGGGGAGAGCAUUCUUCCAGGUUCAUGCCUGUUGUCAUGGAGUAAUUAUAAUUCAUGUCUCCGUUCACAG